rnacentral:rRNA from 1 species
UACGUAGGGUCCGAGCGUUGUCCGGAAUUAUUGGGCGUAAAGGGCUCGUAGGCGGUCUGUUGCGUCGGGAGUGAAAACUUACAGCUUAACUGUGAGCGUGCUUUCGAUACGGGCAGACUUGAGGCAUUCAGGGGGAGAACGGAAUUCCUGGUGUAGCGGUGAAAUGCGCAGAUAUCAGGAGGAACACCGGUGGCGAAGGCGGCGCACUGGACCACAACUGACGCUGAGGCGCGAAAGCUAGGGGAGCAAACAGG